CCUUAUACUGGGGAAAUCAAUCGUCUUCGUAAAAAGAUGUUCGAUAGGGAACGCGGUGUGAGUCCGCGACUGUCCUCGCAACUGUAAGUGCUGAGCUAAUUUCCAUUAUGUCACUGGAACCUAUAUUCUGGGAAGACGGGAAAAGGCGAAGACGCACAAAGUCAGGAAACCUGCUAAACAAUUACCACGUUU
rnacentral:ncRNA from 2 species